CCAGGACUCAGGCAAAACCCAGCUGUCCCUGGCGCUGUCUCCCAACAGCCCUGCAGGGCCCAGUGCUGGACCAGGGCCUUGUCUCCAGCCUCUCCCCCAUGGGACUCUGGGGCCUUUGGGGGCCCUUGGGGGCCUUCCUGCACCCUCACACCUACUCAUCUCUGGACUCAGCCUCAGUGUGAAUGCUCACCUCGGGCUGAGCCAACCCCUCCAGACACGUUCUGCAGCUCGAGGAAGGAACUGCCCUUUGCAGCUGGGAUCUGCCCGAGUUUCAGCAGCAGCCUUGAAUUGUAAUCCCGAGCGGCUGGCGAAUAACACAGCACACAGCACUCGAGAGCCCAGGUUGCCCUACCCCACCAGGUCCCUGGCUCGGCGUCCCCAGACUCUGCCAGGCUGGCCUCACCGUGUGUAUCGAGGUGUUCUCCCUGCAAGGUCUUCAUCAUUCCCCAAUUGCUCGCAUUUAUUUUUCUCCUUCCUUGGUGAGUGGCCCUGCCAGCCUCAGCCUUGUCUCUCCUUGGUGAGCGUCAUUAAUGCAGCUUCCGCGCCACGAUCAGAGGGGGCUGCCCCCACCCUGCCGGCCCUGCCGCUUCUCCUCUGCCCGCCUCGGGAUGGAUGUUCAUUUAUUGCCCAUAAAUCUCUGCACAGCCCUUUGUAAAGACAAAUUGGAGGCCUCCUGUUCCCCGGUGUUGGUUGGGCCGAUCGGUGGUGGGUUUAAUUGGCCCUUCCCGUGGAGGCUGCCCCUGCAGGAGAGGCUCGUUGUGGGCUGGGCCAGAUGCACUGCGUCUGCAGAAGGGGCCAUUCUCUGCCCCUCAUUUUGUCUAGCGUCUGAGGCUGGGCCAUGUGCAGGGACAAAGUGUGGAUCCUCCCUCGGGCUUCCAAAACAUGGCCUCCCCGCAUUCACGUGGCCUGGCAGCAGCCCAGGCCCAGGCAGGGCCCUCUCUCACCCAGGGGGUGAUGCCUGCAGCUUCAACAGCAACCUCCAGGAAGGAGGCGCAUGGGUUCGUUGAGGUGAUACAGGAGUGGAAGAGCUUGGUCCCUUGAAAUGAAUGAUAGGGAAAAGGGGAAGUGCUGCGUAGAGGAGGGUGUGAUCCCUGGCUGGGGCUCCAUCCCACAGACCUAGGUGAGGACAGGCAUUUUUGCAUUUCCCAAGACCACCCUGGCCUGCCACACCCCCAUCCUAUGACUAUAAAAACUCGCGAGACCCUGGCAGGCACGCACAAGCUGCUGGACGUGGAGAGGAGCGGAUUGGCAGAGGAGCACUCAGGCGGCUGGACGUCGAGAGGAACGCACUGACGGGCGCCGGCACCCCGGCAGGCUACCAACCGGCAGCAGAAUGACCUGGAGUUUGGCUGGGGCAGCCAGAGGAGAGCCCGGGCCCGACUCCAGGGGAAAACCGUCCCACUCCAUCUUCUUCUGCCUUCCCCCAUCUGCUACCUCCACUCAAUAAAACCUUGCACUCAUUCUCCGAGC
rnacentral:lncRNA from 1 species